GGCGUCUCAGAGUAGAUGAAGACUCUUUUUUGUUUCUUUUCAGCUUUUGUGGUUUGCUUUUUUGUUUAGAAUAACUGGUCUUAUUUGACCAUCUUCUUUUUGUUGAACUUGGCCGGUUGGUCUGUGUGUUAUGGAAAUUUCAGUUACAUUCUUCAAUUUGCAUAUUUGACUUGUGAACUGCUUGAGUAACCAGCCUGUGUUUUGAUUGUAC
rnacentral:lncRNA from 1 species